rnacentral:lncRNA from 1 species
CUUUCGCAAGCCACUGUAUCCUACCGGAACACAUGAUUAGAGCAUUUUACUAGUUGCAUUGUAGUUGAGACUACUGUUACAAUUUUUUGGGGGGGAGGUGGAAAGUCCACAGGAUUUAUUUUACGAUCAGUGUGGGACAUCUCAGUGAUAUCUCAAGAUGUAUUCCAAGGUCGUCCACCCCUCUCUGUUCUCGUGGGGAAGUAUACAACUUGAUUUGUUUCCUUAGCAGUCGGCCUCGUACAGUGUUGCACGUAGCCUCGACGAGGCACAUCAUGGGUCUGGGCUAGUAUUCCCCUCCUUUGUGUCUUGGGACCCCCCAACCAGCGGUUGGUGUUGGUGUCUGAGGCACAAACAAAAAGGUUGUGCCCUUUGUACGAGUUGUCAGCAGCCGUGUUGUUAGUAGAUUGGAUGUAACCUUUCAACCAAAUCUCUUGGUGUUUGUGCUUCAAAACUCUCAGUGGCUGUCGUGGCCUGCCAUUCACCACAGCGUCCGCGUGUGGCAACCGUUCCAGUACCUGCCAACUGAGACGAGGAUAUCUGAGUCAGAUUCUGCACCAAGAGCUGGGAUGCUACCGGACGUAGUUCAGGGAUGAUCGUGGUGGGAGUGAUCAUCGGCUCCAAGAGGAUAAGCAUCAACCCAGACAAUGUGGCCACACCCAUUGCUGCCAGCUUCGGUGACCUCAUCACCCUGGCCUGCCUCAGCCAGGGGCACUAUGAAUGCAUAGAGUAUUAUCCCUAUGUGUCUGAUCUGCCUCUGCCUGACCCAUCUGUGGGUGGUCGUCUCCUUCAGAAACCCAGCCAGUUGCAUUCUACUCUACACAGGCUGGGAACCAAUCAUCACUGCCAUGGUCAUCAGCAGAUCUGCUACCCUGUUCCGUGCCCAUGAAGUCCAGUCACAGCAUUCGAAUCUUGUGAACUUCAUGGAAAUACCAUGCUUCAAUUUAUUUUUUUCUCUACUAUCGGAGGACUCAUCCUGAACACAACUGUAUCAGACCUGAACAUGGUGGGAAUUUAUUUAUUUGACCUUUAUUUAACUAGGCAGGUCAGUUAAUAACAAAUUCUUAUUUUCAAUGACGGCCUAGAAACAGUGGAUUAACUGCCUUGUUCAGGGGCAGAACGACAUAUGGUAUCAUAUGGAAUGAUAGUCUACACGCCAGUUAUGAAUAGUAAGACGGGGAGCUGGGUUUUUAGGAGCACACAUUCAGGAUCCUUCAAGAAAAUGGUAAGUCAUAAUGCAUAUGAUCAUUGUGUCUCUCCUCCUCAUCUCAAUCUCGGCGUUGGGGGGAACUUGGGAGAGGUGCCUGAGGAUCAAAGGAGCUGCUACAACCCCUGCAGGACCUUUUGUGGCUCAGGUCUUCACUCUGCUGUGUCUUGCUGACUGGAUGGUCCAUUGCCUGUGGCGGACGGGCAAGGACACAGACUGUUACUCCAGCCCCUACCUCACCGCUCUGGGGAUCUAUUGGGCACGGCCCUCCUCGCUCUGGCCUUCUUCCUGCUCUGGCUCAUAGGGGAGCAGGUUCCCACUGGAGACUGACACCCUGGUUACAGUCUUGUCAGUUGGGGAGUUGCAGCGAUGAGACUCGGGAGCGGUGAAGGUCAAGAGCCAUGCGUCCUCCCGAAGCACGACCCAACCAAGCCGCACUGCUUCUUGACACAAUGCCCAUUUAACCCGGAAGCCAGAAAACCAAUGUGUCAGAGGAAACAUCGUACACCUGGCGACCGUGUCAGCGUGCACUGCGCCCGGCCCGCCACAGGAGUUGCUAGUGCGCGAUGGAACAAGGACAUCCCUGCCGGCCAAACCCUCCCCUAACCCGGACGACACUGGGCCAAUUGUGCACCUCCCCAUGGGUCUCCUGGUCACGACAGAGCCUGGACUCGAACCCAGAAUCUCUAGUUGCACAGCUAGCACUGCGAUGCCUUGGUUGGGUUGUGUUUUGUGGUCCCGUGUGGCUCAGUUGGUAGAGCAUGGUGUUUGCAACGCCAGGGUUGUGGGUUCGAUUCCCACGGGGGACCAGUAUGGAGAAAAAAUGUAUGAAAUGUAUGCAUUCACUACUGUAAGUUGCUCUGGAUAAGAGUGUCUGCUAAAUGAUUAAAAUGUAAAUGUGCCUUAAACCACUGCACCACUUGGGAGGCCUGUCCCACUCCUUUUCAAUGGCUGUGUGAAGUUACUGGAUAUUGGUCGGAAACUGGAACACGCUGUCGUACAUGUCAAUCCAGAGCAUCCCAAACAUACUGAAUGGGUGACAUGUCUGAGUAUGCAGGCCAUGGAAGAACUGGGACAUUUUGAGCUUCCAGGAAUUGUGUAAAGAUCCUUGCGACAUGGUGACGUGCAUUAUCAUGCUGAAACAUGAGGUGAUGGCAGCAGAUGAAUGGCACGACAAUGGGCCUCAGGAUCUUGUCGUGGUAUCUCUGAAGUUAAAAUAGAUUUUUGCUCUUCUCACUAAUGGCAAAUGGUUGAGCUUGUUUCUUUUUUCCCCAUUUGCACAAAAUACUUACUUGCCAGCUUGCAAUAUGGCAUGGGGCAUUAUCCUGCUUUAAAAAUCUAUUCACAGGUGGAUACACUGCUGCCAUGAAGGGAUGCACCUGAUUGGCAAUGAUGUACUUCCCAAGUACUUCUCUGCCGCUGCCACCACAACCUCCUUUUCUGUGACUUUCCAUCCAUUUCUGAAGUACAAUUGACAACCAUGGCUAUAAAUGCUCAAAAGCCCACCAUACUGAAGAACAUAUUCUUCAUAAUCACUCUCUCUGUCUCUGCCUACUCACAGGAAUCCUCUCAGAAUCCCUCACCCUGUACCCAUCUUCCUCUACCACUCUUCACUGCUUCGGCACAUAACACUUUUUGUACUACUCUAAACCUGGCAACGUCAAUCUGCCUUUCUCUCACCGGACACCUCCUAUCUCCAGCCCCAUGGGCAACCCCUACAACUAACACACAACUUUCUCCACCGAUGCCAUACAUUCCUUCGUCUCAUGCCCUUCUGCACACUUCUAUUUACUCAAAACAUAUUCCACUUUUCUCCCUUUUUUCUUGUCCACCAUCUUGUCCUUCACCAGAUCUUCCAGAAGGCUUGUGCAAUCCCCACUCCAUAUUUAUUCAUAAUAUGGUCCAUUUUCUUCAUUUUUUUUUCUUGUUCGCGAUCUUACGGUGUGUCUAAACUCCAGUCCCUCUCAAUCUCUUCUUCACAAUCCACGUCUCAAUUGUCUCAAGGCAUCUGUCUCCUCCCCUUCAUCUACACUGACUGAAGUGGAUUUAACAGGUGACAUCAAUAAGGGAUCAUUGCUUUCACAUGGUCAGUCUAUGUCAAGGAAAAAACAGGCAUUCCUAAUGUUUUGUACACAUGUAUAUUUUUAUUAUUUUAUAAAAUGGCAUCUAGUGGUCUUUUUGGGUACUGCAGAUUAUCACAGGUGUGUAAUUAUUUCUACCCACAGCAAUAAUUACACAUCUGAUAAUCUGCAGUACCCAAAAAUACCACUAGAUGCCAUUUUAUAAAAUAAUACAAUCUCACGUAAAAUAUAUAAAAUAAUGAAAGAUGAUUUUAAAAUAAAAUAUUUACUGACCAAGCUGUAAAACAUUAUCCUAAAUAUAAACCAUCAACUUAGUAAAUAACAUUGGUGUUUAUUAUGAGGCCUCAGGUUUCAGCAUGAAAUAUCCUUCUUUUUUUUACACACUUAUUUAUUUUGCUAUGUCCAAAUGUCUUUGUUGUAAAUGUUUUGGCACCAAACUGGUGGCAGUUAUGAAAAAAGUGAAUAGUUGGAAGAGUUUCAGUUAAUUGAAAAGAAUGCCAUUGUUGAUUAGAUACUUUUUUCAUUAAUUAUGCUAUUUUCUCUUGAACCAUAUGUUCUAUCCCCUAUAAACUAAUUGACACACAUAUAUAUAUAUAUAUAUAUAUAUAUAUAUAUAUAUAUAUAUAUAAAAAAUAGCAUAUGUAUUUUUUUUUAAAGUGAAUAAAGUCUAAAUUACCAAAGUUACCAUACCCUAAUUUUGACAAUGUGAGACAAUAAUAUUGCAGUUACUUCCUCCCCUUAUGAAAAAAGAUUGCAGUCAGAGUGCCACAUACAAUGCAGUAUAACUUUGGUUAUAGUGAAGUAUAAUUGCUGUUAUUCUACAUUUACUGUGUCCAAAAUAUUACAGUCAAUCUUUCUUUGUUAAGGGUUAUUUGUGUGACUUGUUUUUUUAUUAUUUUUAUUUGUGUGACUUGUCUUGCAUUGUUUUGUGAGCUGAGAAUGAGUCCAACAAACUGUCUAGUGAAUAAUUUGUUUUUAUUAAAAAGCUUGUUCUGCCUCUGCAUCAAUA